rnacentral:rRNA from 1 species
UACAGAGGUCUCAAGCGUUGCUCGGAAUCAUUGGGCGUAAAGGGCGCGUAGGCGGCGGGGUCAGUCGGGUGUGAAAUCUUGGGGCUUAACCCCGAAACGGCACUCGAAACUGCCCGGCUGGAGGGCCGGAGAGGAGAUCGGAAUUCACGGUGUAGCAGUGAAAUGCGUAGAGAUCGUGAGGAAGACCCGUGGCGAAGGCGGAUCUCUGGACGGGUAACUGACGCUGAGGCGCGAAGGCCAGGGGAGCAAACGGG